rnacentral:ncRNA from 1 species
GCUGUUGCGCGGGAAGUAGUUGGCGAAGGCGAAGCCCCGCGCCUGGUCGAUGGCGUGGAAGAGCGGGUUCCAGUCGAACAUCGCCAGCAUGUAGCCGGGCAUCAUGUUGGCCACGAACAUCUUGCCCGAGGCGAUCAUGUUGGCGCGCUG